rnacentral:tRNA from 20 species
GCCGGUUUAGCUCAGUUGGUAGAGCAGUUGAUUUGUAAUCAUCAGGCCAGGGGUUCGAAUCCUCUAACCGGCACCA